AUCAGCAUUGCUAUGCAACCUUUAAAGCAACUAUGUUCACGAAGGAUUUUGUUUUGGGGUAAAUAAAAAGCUUCCGCUUCUACAUGACGAAUCUGCUGAUCACUGGGAAUCAGAAUGUUGGCAUACGUGAGGUACCUGGAUGACGGCUGCACGGCAGUUGCAUCAACUAGCGAAAUUAAGGACUUUAACUAUGACAUGUUUGACCAAACUCAGGUGUAUUGGAUACGAUGGAAGCAAGACUUCAGGGCACAAAUACUGAUGCUUAAAGAGAAUAAAGAAGACAUAGAGCAGGAUUUGUCUAAAGGCAAACGACUCCGGGUAGCACCUCUUAAAAAAACAUGGUCAUUGACACCACAUACUACUUGUACCUCGGUAAAAGAGAGAGCGGAAGCUAAGACCAAAAAUGUGUGUUGUAAAGGUUAUAUUGUGUAACGUUAUUUGUGCACGUGUGUAUAUUAUAGUGUGAUGGCAAAUGUCAUUGUCCAAUAAAUAUU